AACGAACGCUGGCGGCAUGCCUAACACAUGCAAGUCGAACGAGACCUUCGGGUCUAGUGGCGCACGGGUGCGUACCGCGUGGGAACCUGCCCUUAGGUUCGGAAUAACUCCCCGAAAGGGGUGCUAAUACCGGAUAAUGUCUUCGGACCAAAGAUUUAUCGCCUUUGGAUGGGCCCGCGUUGGAUUGGCUAGUUGGUAGGGUAAAAGCCUACCAAGGCGACGAUCCAUAGCUGGUCUGAGAGGAUGAUCAGCCACACUGGGACUGAGACACGGCCCAGACUCCUACGGGAGGGAGCAGUGGGGAAUAUUGGACAAUGGGCGAAAGCCUGAUCCAGCAAUGCCGCGUGAGUGAUGAAGGCCUUAGGGUUGUAAAGCUCUUUUACCCGGGAUGAUAAUGACAGUACCGGGAGAAUAAGCACCGGCUAACUCCGUG
rnacentral:rRNA from 1 species